UUUGUUUUCCUUUUCUCACAGCUGCUUUACUUCAAUUUCCACUGUCAAAAACCCGAUGAACACGAGCUUGUUUGGUCAUUCUUGCCAAGUCGAAUUAGGGAUGGAUUUGGAGACAGCAAUCAAUUUGGCAAUGGAAUUGAAGAUGGGCCGCAACUAUAUUCUUGUCCAGAAAGGAUUUCAGAGCCUGCAAUUUAGAUCUCUGCACACAAAUUGGGUGAGGAUUUCGUUCUUUAUUUUACUCCUUGGUUUGAUCUGUGUACAACAAAACUGAAAUUUCUUCUUGAUUCUCUUCAUCGGUGACUCUGGGCUUUGAAUGUUGUUUUCUAGUGUUGCAAUUUUAUCGCGGUGAGUUCGAACAAGGCAAGGGUGUACUUUGGGUUGUGACAGCAAUACUCCUGCCUUUGACUCUUCCGAUGCGUAUAUGAGCCUAUUUUGAAGAGGGCAUUCUUUGAUUCCACCGAUAAGUUCCUGCAAUUAACUCCUUUUUCCUUUACUGCAGGAACUACAGGGGAAACCUCACCGGGUGGGUGCUGUUAUUGAGGUUCAAAACGGACCAGGUGAUAGUGGUCACAGCAGUGUUGGAAGUCUCAAAGCUUUAUUUUAAGGAGUUCCCUUUUUUUAUCAUCAUUUUUAAUUUGAAUCACGACCCUAUAUGGAAGCAAGGUCUGGAUGGUGAUCCACAAAGGGCCCUCUGUCAUGUUCCGGUUUAUUAAACUGCCGAAACUUGAGGAUGAUAUCGGCACCCUAAGGCUCGCCGUUUCAAAGUUCUGAAAACAGUAUUGGCACCGUAAGGCACCGCCACCGGAGCUUUGAAAGUAUUUUCGGCACCCUAAGGCACGCCGAGUUGAAGCUCAACGACAAUAUCGGCACCCUAAGGCACGCCGUGUCGGAGCAUGAUAUUGAUACCCUACGGUAUCGCUGGAGGCCUGCAUCAAUUUGAGAACAGCAAAGGAAAAGGUGCAGAUCGGUGAAAGUCUCACCCUCUUCCUUCUUGCUUUCUUCCUCUGCUUCUUCCCGGUCUCCUGAUGCUGCUAUGUUCUAUAUUUUCGUCCUCUGGUCCUCCUUUUCUUUUCUUCACAUCAUGCUUAUAUAAUGCACUAGUGACGAGUUUGACUUGCAUACAACAUUGAGAGUUUUAGAGUUCAACUCGAAGUGAACUAGUUGGAAACUUUAUCUCCACAAUAUUUUUUCUCUUCUGACGUCAAAACUGUAACUUAUUUUUUUAAUUGCAUUGCUGGCAAGACUUCUAACAAACCUAGAAGUCCAAUGCUUUACGAGCUUGACAAUUGUACUUCUUCACAUUCUUUUGUCUUUUGCCAUAGAAAUGCACUAGACGUCAAUCUCGUUGUAAUUGGAUAUAUGAAUUUUUUCGGUUUCAA